ACUACAGUGGCUGGAAGAGGCACUGCAUGGAGCUUCCUGAGACUAAGUCCCAGAAACUGGAAAAAAAGAUAGAGAAUGAGAAGAAAGAGUAUGGAGCAGACGGAGUGAACACUAGAGGAAGCUGCAGAAUCCUAUUAUGAUCCUACGUUUGAUGAGCUUCUCUCUCAAGCGAGGAGAUCUUGUAGCACAGUGGCUAGCCUCCAAACCAGAAAAUCUGGGUUCAGGUACCAUUCCAGGACUUGAUGGCCGCAGAAGGUGAUGGUGGUUUCCAGCUCCGAAUGAACCCAGCAGUUUUGAGGAUUAAAGCACAGCAAAAAGACUUUACUUUUCAGAGACUUGCCUUAACCACUCAGGCCGUUUCUUACCAUUCGUUAUCUGUCAAAACAAAUUGAUUGAGUACGGGAGAUAUGGAAAUCUCCUCUAGGCUGAUUGCAAACGCUUUUGUCUCUGAUGCAAAACCACCAUUUAAAACCACCAAGCGGCAUACAAGCAAAAGCUGGCUGAGACUGUAAAGUAACCACGUGCUGGAAAAUUCCUAUGUGGAUUCCACUUGACCAAAUAGACCAGGGAGAAUGGAAUGUCGCAUCUAAAAAGGUGUCAAGACCCACUUCAGACAGAGACACUUCGAAGGAUGAGAAGCAAAUGCAGAAACUGAACUGUAAUCUCCUGUGGUUGUGAAAAUGAUGAAGGCUGAUUACCAUCUCAGCAGAAACCCUCCUCUGUGAGCUCUAUCUGAGACUGUGGACAUGAUGUGAGCUGAAAGAAAGCAGUUUCUGUGUGAAAGACAUGUUUUGUUUCUCCCUUCCAGGAAUACACAAGAAAAGGGGUUAAAAACCAACUGGUCUCUGUGUGCUAGUUUUGGUGUUCCAGGCCUGUAUGUGAGGAUGAGCUGUGAAGGUCACAGCUGAAGAACAUCAACUAGAGAUCUCUGCGCUUGCAGGUAAAAAGUCUUCUCUCUCUGAUUGUUGGAGGUAAGUCACAAGUCAGAAAAGCCACAGUCAAGAAGCAAACAGGACAAUUCCUUUCAGCUAACCCGCAGAACCAAGAAUCUCCAAUCCAACUGCUCAACUGCCUAAAGUCAGCUCUAACAGAAUAACUCAACUUAACAGCCUCAACGUUUCACCAUCUAUUCCUCACGAACAAGCCAAAGACUGAUUCAUAUAGCUUUUUUAAACUUUUAUUUCUGGACUCACUUCUCAUUUCUAAUCUGUGUGUAUGUGUGUUGUGUUUUUAUUAUUUUCCUCAUGUUUUAGUAACUAAUAAACUCACUCUUUCUUUGACUCAAGAAAGCCUGGUUCAAUUGGCUCCUUUUAGAACAUAAAUACAUUUGGACUGGGACAAGGUACUCACGAGGGAAGGGAUCCUUUUUAAAUUAACCUUCUUCUGACCAACUGAAGGGGUUGAAUAAAGUAGGGGGGCCAGUUCACCCUUCCUCACCCAGGAACGUAACAAAUUGGGGGAACCUCCCCUGGGGACCAGUCUUUACAAUAUAUUAGUGUCAUACUGGUGGUAGGGUUGGACAUGCUGGUGAGGUGGUAGUGCUGGUUGGGCAGCUGCUUUCUUCAGAUGGAAGAUGGACCAGAGGAGGGGUAGAUGGGAGACUAAAAGAUCGAGGGAAGAGUUUCCUGACACUUCGACUAAAGUGUGGAAUGCUGUUAUCACAAGCUGUUACAUGUCAUACACUUUUUCUGUCUAAUUGGUUAUUAUAUCAUAUCUAAUCUGUUGUUUCUUGAUAAACU